CGUAACAAGGUCUCCGUAGGUGAACCUGCGGAGGGAUCAUUACACAAAUAUGAAGGCGGGCUGGAACCUCUCGGGGUUACAGCCUUGCUGAAUUAUUCACCCUUGUCUUUUGCGUACUUCUUGUUUCCUUGGUGGGUUCGCCCACCACUAGGACAAACAUAAACCUUUUGUAAUUGCAAUCAGCGUCAGUAACAAAUUAAUAAUUACAACUUUCAACAACGGAUCUCUUGGUUCUGGCAUCGAUGAAGAACGCAGCGAAGUGCGAUAAGUAGUGUGAAUUGCAGAAUUCAGUGAAUCAUCGAAUCUUUGAACGCACAUUGCGCCCUUUGGUAUUCCAAAGGGCAUGCCUGUUCGAGCGUCAUUUGUACCCUCAAGCUUUGCUUGGUGUUGGGCGUCUUGUCUCUAGCUUUGCUGGAGACUCGCCUUAAAGUAAUUGGCAGCCGGCCUACUGGUUUCGGAGCGCAGCACAAGUCGCACUCUCUAUCAGCAAAGGUCUAGCAUCCAUUAAGCCUUUUUUUCAACUUUUGACCUCGGAUCAGGUAGGGAUACCCGCUGAACUUAAGCAUAUCA
rnacentral:rRNA from 1 species